rnacentral:rRNA from 1 species
CCCUUAGAUGUCCUGGGCUGCACGCGCGCUACACUGAUGUGUCCAGUAAGCACCUAACCUCUUCCGAAAGGAACGGGUAACCUUUGCAAAGCACAUCGUGAUGGGGAUAGAUUAUUGCAAUUGUUAGUCUUGAACGAGGAAUUCCUAGUAAGCACAAGUCAUCAGCUUGUGUUGAUUACGUCCCUGCCCUUUGUACACACCGCCCGUCGCUCCUACCGAUUGAAUGUUCCGGUGAGCUCUUCGGACUGCGCGGUCUGCAGUUUCUGCGUUCCGUGCGGAAAGUUGCGCAAACCUUAACAUUUAGAGGAAGGAGAAGUCGUAACA